rnacentral:rRNA from 1 species
UCAAAGGUCGUGCACGCCCGAGCGCUCUCGCACAAUCCAUCUCACCCCUUUGUGCAUCACCGCGUGGGUUCCCCCCCCCCCUUUGCGGGGAGGGCUCGCGUUUUCACGUAAAACUCAAUACAGUCUAGAAUGUUCACUUUUGCGGUCACACGCAAUCAAUACAACUUUCAACAACGGAUCUCUUGGCUCUCGCAUCGAUGAAGAACGCAGCGAAAUGCGAUACGUAAUGUGAAUUGCAGAAUUCAGUGAAUCAUCGAAUCUUUGAACGCACCUUGCGCCCCUUGGCAUUCCGAGGGGCACACCCGUUUGAGUGUCGUGAAAUCCUCAAAACCCCCCUUUCUUUCAUCGGAACGGGGGAUUUUGGACUUGGAGGCUCAAUGCUUGCUUUCGCUUUCGAAAGCGAGCUCCUCUUAAAUGAAUCAGUGGGGUCCGCUUUGCCGAUCCUUGACGUGAUAAGAUGUUUCUACGUUUUGGACAUGGCACUGUUUUCUCCGCUCCUAACUGUCCCACGGACAACGAUGGUGCUCCGGUCCCCUGCCAUCUGGCGCGUGGCUGGACC